rnacentral:rRNA from 1 species
UCGAGGGGUAUAGUUCUUCGGAAUUAGAGACCGGCGCACGGGUGCGUAACGCGUAUGCAAUCUACCUUUCACAGAGGGAUAGCCCAGAGAAAUUUGGAUUAAUACCUCAUAGUAUAUCGAGUUGGCAUCAACAUGAUAUUAAAGUCACAACGGUGAAAGAUGAGCAUGCGUCCCAUUAGCUAGUUGGUAAGGUAACGGCUUACCAAGGCAACGAUGGGUAGGGGUCCUGAGAGGGAGAUCCCCCACACUGGUACUGAGACACGGACCAGACUCCUACGGGAGGCAGCAGUGAGGAAUAUUGGACAAUGGGCGCAAGCCUGAUCCAGCCAUGCCGCGUGCAGGAUGACGGUCCUAUGGAUUGUAAACUGCUUUUAUACGAGAAGAAACAACUCUACGUGUAGAGUCUUGACGGUAUCGUAAGAAUAAGGAUCGGCUAACUCCGUGCCAGCAGCCGCGGUAAUACGGAGGAUCCAAGCGUUAUCCGGAAUCAUUGGGUUUAAAGGGUCCGUAGGCGGUCAGAUAAGUCAGUGGUGAAAGCCCAUCGCUCAACGGUGGAACGGCCAUUGAUACUGUCUGACUUGAAUUAUUAGGAAGUAACUAGAAUAUGUAGUGU